UACGAGAGGCCCAAACGUUAUUCGGAUUUACUGGGCGUAAAGAGCGCGCAGGCGGUCGUUCAAGUCGCGUGUGAAAGCCCCCGGCUCAACUGGGGAGGGUCACGCGAUACUGAUCGACUCGAAGGCAGGAGAGGGUAGUGGAAUUCCCGGUGUAGUGGUGAAAUGCGUAGAUAUCGGGAGGAACACCAGUGGCGAAGGCGACUACCUGGCCUGUUCUUGACGCUGAGGCGCGAAAGCUAGGGGAGCAAACGGG
rnacentral:rRNA from 1 species